GACGAACGCUGGCGGCGUGCUUAACACAUGCAAGUCGAACGAUGAAGCUAGAGCUUGCUCUGGUGGAUUAGUGGCGAACGGGUGAGUAACACGUGAGUAACCUGCCCCGAACUCUGGGAUAACUGCUGGAAACGGUAGCUAAUACCGGAUAUGACCAAUGAAGGCAUCUUCUGUUGGUGGAAAGAAUUUCGGUUCGGGAUGGACUCGCGGCCUAUCAGCUUGUUGGUGAGGUAACGGCUCACCAAGGCGACGACGGGUAGCCGGCCUGAGAGGGUGAUCGGCCACACUGGGACUGAGACACGGCCCAGACUCCUACGGGAGGCAGCAGUGGGGAAUAUUGCACAAUGGGCGCAAGCCUGAUGCAGCAACGCCGCGUGAGGGACGACGGCCUUCGGGUUGUAAACUUCUUUUGUAGGGGACGAUUGUGACGGUACCCUACGAAUAAGGGCCUGCUAACUACGUGCCAGCCGCCGCAGUAA
rnacentral:rRNA from 1 species